AUUUUGUAUAUUUUAGACAUGUUUUUGUAUAUUUCCAUUCCUAAUAUCGAUUUGUGUCCAUUAUCCUUUUCCGUAGAGACUGUCCAGUUUGGCCGAUGUACAUAGCAGAGGGCA